rnacentral:lncRNA from 1 species
UUUUGGAUAAAAAAAGGGAGAAGUAGCUGUAGAUGUAGCUGAGUAUCUUAGCUUAACUCUAUAGUAUCGUUGUUGCUCUAUUUGUCUGAUAUAGGGGGGGAAUUCUGGUGUUUAUUUGUUUGGUACAGGGGGAGAAUUCUCUGUGUUCUGUUUGUGUGAAGCAGUGUGAUUGUUGCUUGUUGUGGACUGGCUUAAGGGGGAGUUGUGUGAAGCAGUAGGGUUGUUGCUUGUU